rfam:Lupinus angustifolius cultivar Tanjil contig_45222, whole genome shotgun sequence.
AUUUUUGAAAAUUGUUUUGAUUAUACUUGAAGUGUUUCAAUUUUCUUAAAAAAUAGUUUGAGCAUUACUACUAGAGUAUAUUCGAGACUAUAGAAUAAAUGUACCUAUUUAGACUUAGACUAAUUUGUCUUGAAGCUUUGUCUACUUUGUCUUCAUAAGUAUUCUUCCUUUUCUUCUUUUUGGUGAUGUUAGUUUCUUCAUCAAAACCAUGCCAAGGUCAGGAACAAAAGAUCUUCUUCAGACCUGUCACACCACGAGGCACUGUCGAUGGGUCGGGUUGUUUGGGAAUGCAACCCCAAUCGAGCGGUAAAUUUCGUCCAAGGCUAAACACUGGUGAGGGAAUGAUAUCGAACAAGUAUCGCGAGGGAAAUAUGAAAAGGACUUUGAGAAGAGUGUCAAAGAGUGCUUGAAAUUGUCGGGAGAGAAGAGGAUGGGGGCUGGUGAUGUUCCUCGGUCGGAUGUGGAUCAGUGAGAGUCGGUCUGCCAAUCGACUCGGAGCAUGGAUCGGCGUGAACUAUGAGGGUGGCCCUAUCGUGAUUGUGGUUUGAAGUGCGCACCGCUUAGUGUGCUAUGGCACCUACAUGCUCUGGGCGUUAGCCUACAGGCUUUCCAUUCGGUCUGUCUUGAAACACAGAUCAAGGAAUCUGACAUGUGUGUGAGUAAGCGGGAAAGUAAACCCGUAAGGCACAAGGAAGUUGAUUGGUGGGAUCCCCUUAUGGGUUGCACUGUCGCUGAACCUUGAUCUUCUAUGAAGGGUUCAAGUGAAAGCAUACCUGUCGGGACCCGAAAGAUGGUGAACUAUGCCUGAGCGGGGCGAAGAAAAAGGAUACUCUGGUGGAUUUCUGCAGCGAUACUAACGUGCAAAUCAUUCGUCUGACUUGGGUCUAGGGGCGAAAGACUAAUCGAACCGUCUAGUAGCGGGUUCCCUCCGAAGUUUCCCUCAGGAUAACUGAAGCCCGCGGGCGAGUUCUAUCAGGUAAAGCCAAAUAUUAUAGGCAUCAGGGGCGCAACGCCUUCGACCCAUUCUCAAACUUUAAAUAGGUAGGACGGUGUGGCUUCUUUGUUGAGCCACGCCAUGGAAUCGAGAGCUCCAAGUGGGUCAUUUUUGGUAAGUAGAACUGGCGAUGCGGGAUGAACCGGAAGCUGGGUUACGGUGCAUAACUACGCGUUAACAUCGACCACACAAAGGGUGUUGGUCGAUUAAGAUAGUAGGACGAUGGUCAUAAAAGUCAAAAUCCGCUAAAGAGUGUGUAACAACUCAUCUAUUGAAUUAACUAGCCACAAAAUUGGAUGGCGCUAAAGGGUGCAGCCUAUACCUAGCCAUCGGGGCAACGGUCAGGGCCUGAUGAGUAGCUGGGCACGGCGAUCGCUACAAAACCUGGGGUGUGAGCUCGGGAGAGCAGUCGUCGGUGCAGAUCUUUGUGAUAGUAGCAAAUAUCCAAAUGAGAAUAUUGAAGGCCGAAGAGGGAAAAUGUACCAUGUGAAUGACACUUGCACAUGGGUUAGUCGAUCCUAAGGGACAGGGAAGCUCGUCUAAUUGCGCUCUAAGCACGCACUCGAAAAGGGAAUGGGUUAAAAUUCCUGAACCGGGAUGUGGCGACUGACGGCAAUGUUAGGGAGUCUGGAGACGUCGGUGCGGGCCCUAGAAAGAGUUAUCUUUUCUAUUUAAUAGUCUGCCUACCCUGAAAACGGCUUAGCCGAAGGUAGGUUCUAGCGGCUGGAAGAGAACCACAUGUCGCACGGUGUCAGAUGCACCCCCGGAGGCCCUUGAAAAUCCGGAGGACCGAGCGCAUCGGUCGUACUCAUAACCGCAUCAAGUCUCCAAGGUGAACAACCUCUAGUGAUAU